rnacentral:ncRNA from 1 species
UAAUUGAAGAGUUUGAUCAUGGCUCAGAUUGAACGCUGGCGGCAGGCCUAACACAUGCAAGUCGAGCGGUAACAGAGAGU